rnacentral:rRNA from 1 species
UACGGAGGGUGCGAGCGUUGUCCGGAAUCACUGGGCGUAAAGGGCGCGUAGGCGGCAUGCCAAGCGUGUGGUGAAAGCCCGGGGCUCAACCCCGGGUCGGCCGUGCGGACUGGCAUGCUCGAGCACUGUAGGGGCGGGUGGAAUUCCGGGUGUAGCGGUGGAAUGCGUAGAGAUCCGGAAGAACACCGGUGGCGAAGGCGGCCUGCUGGGCAGUAGCUGACACUGAGGCGCGACAGCGUGGGGAGCAAACAGG